rnacentral:rRNA from 1 species
UUAUAAUAUAUUGGUUUGUUGUUAAGCGAUAAAAAUUAUAUUAAGGAGAAACUGGAAAAUAAAAAGGUGAAAUUGAAUUAUUUUUUACAGGAAAAAUAAAGAUUAGUAAUUAGAGCUGAAGCAAAAAAAAGUUGGAUUUAAACUAGGAUUAGAUACCCUAUUAUACCGAAAAGUAAUAUUACACAAACCUAAGUAUUUAAAGUUAUGUACUUGAAAUUUGAAGAAUUUGGCGGUGAUUUAGUCUUGUCAGAGGAACCUGUUUUUGAAUCGAUACACCACGAAGAAUCUUACUUAAGCUUGUUGUAGUAUGUAUACCAUCAUUAUUAGGUAAUUUUUAUAGAAUAAAUUACUGUAUAUUUGUUAAUAACGUUAAAUAUAUUAGAUCAAGGUGCAGCUAAUGCUUAAGUUAAAAUGGGUUACAAUAAAAUUUAUUUAAUACGGAAUAUCAAUUUAAACAGUUGAUUAGAAGGAGGAUUUGAUUGUAAAGUAAGUUUAAUAAGCUUAGUUAGAUAUAAGCUCUAAAUCAUGUACAUAUCGCCCGUCGCUUUCAUUAUUAAGAUGAGAUAAGUCGUAACAUAGUAGGCUUACUAGAAAGUGAGCCUGGA